CUCUGUGACUCCUACGGGAGGCAGCAGUGGGGAAUAUUGCACAAUGGGGGAAACCCUGAUGCAGCCAUGCCGCGUGUGUGAAGAAGGCCUUCGGGUUGUAAAGCACUUUCAGUAGGGAGGAAGGUAGUGUAGUUAACACCUGCAUUAUUUGACGUUACCUACAGAAGAAGCACCGGCUAACUCCGUGCCAGCAGCCGCGGUAAUACGGAGGGUGCGAGCGUUAAUCGGAAUUACUGGGCGUAAAGCGCAUGCAGGCGGCCUGUUAAGUCAGAUGUGAAAGCCCGGGGCUUAACCUCGGAAUUGCAUUUGAAACUGGCAGGCUAGAGUCUUGUAGAGGGGGUAGAAUUUCAGGUGUAGCGGUGAAAUGCGUAGAGAUCUGAAGGAAUACCAGUGGCGAAGGCGGCCCCCUGGACAAAGACUGACGCUCAGAUGCGAAAGCGUGGGGAGCAAACAGGAUUAGAUACCCUGGUAA
rnacentral:rRNA from 1 species